rnacentral:rRNA from 1 species
GACAGAGGGUGCAAACGUUGUUCGGAAUUACUGGGCGUAAAGCGUGCGCAGGCGGUUUUGCAAGCCGGAUGUGAAAUCCCCGGGCUCAACCUGGGAAUGGCAUUCGGGACUGCAAGGCUGGAGUGCGGCAGAGGAGACUGGAAUUCCUGGUGUAGCAGUGAAAUGCGUAGAUAUCAGGAGGAAUACCGAUGGCGAAGGCAGGUCUCUGGGCUGACACUGACGCUCAUGCACGAAAGCGUGGGGAGCAAACAGG